GAAUAAGAGAAGAGGUAUAAGAAGAGAAAGUAAAAAAGAGUAGAGGUGAGGUAGGGAACAGAGCAAGAGUGGGAGAGAGAAAUAGUUGAACAAGGAACAGGAUAGAUAAACAGACUGACAGUAAGAUUAAGAUGUCAGAGAAGGUGACAGAGAUCUAGGUACAUUAGCGGGGGGGGGGGGAUAAGAAGAAAGCUGCAGGGAACCGUUUGAUUUAGUGUCAUAUAGAACCAUGAUCCACGUAUUGGAAACAACUUGACCUAACUGACAAUCACCAUAAAUACCAGAAAAAAAAAUCUAUCAACCCUUGGACAUGGUAACCCAAAUUAGAUAACAUUUAAUAUUAACAGAACAGAAUACCUGAACAACUCUUACAACUAUACAGUAAAGACCUGACACCCCAACCACUGCUCACCACUCCACAUGCUGCUGAGAAGUAAACAAAAUUUCCAUUUACCAUACUGCUGUGGCUGUUAGAAUAUCUGUGUGGUUUUUAAAUGGUAUCAAGCAGGCUUCUCCAAGUAACAAGUUAGCAAGAA